UGGUCCUACGGGGGGCAGCAGUGGGGAAUAUUGCACAAUGGGGGAAACCCUGAUGCAGCAACGCCGCGUGAGUGAAGAAGUAUUUCGGUAUGUAAAGCUCUAUCAGCAGGGAAGAAGAAAGACGGUACCUGACUAAGAAGCCCCGGCUAACUACGUGCCAGCAGCCGCGGUAGUACGUAGGUGGCAACCUAAGCGCAGGGUUUAAGGCAAUGGCUCAACCAUUGUUCGCCCUGCGAACUGGGAUGCUUGAGUGCAGGAGAGGAAAGCGGAAUUCCUAGUGUAGCGGUGAAAUGCGUAGAUAUUAG
rnacentral:rRNA from 1 species